UUUCCUACGGGAGGCAGCAGUGGGGAAUAUUGGGCAAUGGGGGAAACCCUGACCCAGCGACGCCGCGUGAGGGAAGAAGGUUUUCGGAUUGUAAACCUCUGUCCUUUGUGACGAUACUGACGGUAGCCAAGGAGGAAGCCACGGCUAACUACGUGCCAGCAGCCGCGGUAAUACGUAGGUGGCGAGCGUUGUCCGGAAUUACUGGGUGUAAAGGGAGCGUAGGCGGGAGAGCAAGUCGCCUGU
rnacentral:rRNA from 1 species